UACGUAGGGGGCAAGCGUUGUCCGGAUUUAUUGGGCGUAAAGAGCGUGUAGGCGGCCAGACAGGUCAGCUGUGAAAACUCGAGGCUCAACCUCGAGACGUCGGUUGAAACCGUCUGGCUAGAGUCCGGAAGAGGAGAGUGGAAUUCCCGGUGUAGCGGUGAAAUGCGUAGAUAUCUGGAGGAACACCGGUGGCGAAGGCGGCGUUCUGGACUGCAACUGACACUGAGGAACGAAAGCCAGGGGAGCAAACGGG
rnacentral:rRNA from 1 species